rnacentral:misc_RNA from 1 species
UCUCCGUAGGUGAACCUGCGGAGGGAUCAUUACAGAGUCCAUGCCCUACCGGGUAGAUCUCCCACCCUAUGUUAUUAUUACUUUGUUGCUUUGGCGGGCCGUUAGGCUCCGGCCCGACUACCGGCCCCGGCUGGUAAGCGCCCGCCAGAGGACCCAAAACCCUGAAAAUUAGUGUCGUCUGAGUACUAUAUAAUAGUUAAAACUUUCAACAACGGAUCUCUUGGUUCUG